rnacentral:tRNA from 1 species
CAUUAAGAAGCUAUGAACCAGCACUAGCCUUUUAAGCUAGAGAAAGAGGAAGUUCCCCUCCUUAAUGA